rnacentral:misc_RNA from 1 species
GAAAGGGGAGCCAUCCCUGAGUAAAGUGGCGUACGGGUGAGUAACACGUGGGUAAUCUACCUCUUAGUGGGCGAUAUCUCUGGGAAACCGGAGUUAAUGCCGCAUAAGCUCUAGGGAGGAAACGGGAAACCGGCUGAGAGAGGAGCCCGCGGCCGAUUAGCUGGUUGGUAGGGUAAAGUCCUACCAAGGCCGGGAUCGGUAGCCGGCCUGAGAGGGCACACGGCCACACUGGCACUCCAACACGGGCCAGGGUCCUACGGGAGGCAGUUCCCUAUCUUGCGUAAAACU